GAAGAAACAUUGAUAUCUUUACUUAUGAGUCAAGUAGUUGGCUCACAUUCAAGUAAACAGUGAGUGUCCUGUGAACAUUUGCCAUUCAUUACUUAGUUGUGAGUCUUGUUCAGUAAUAGUGUGUUGGAAAGUCUCUCUGCCCCUCCCUGAUCUUAUCAAAAUCAGUCAGAGCUGAUUUUUAUAAAUGCAGUAGUUUUCUACUUGACCAGCAGUAGAAAACCUCCCAUACUCGUGUGUGUGUGUGUGUGUGUGUGUGUGUGUAUGUGUGUGGUUUCUUUACAAACCUUACCUCUGCUGUGAUACGCUUUUUUUUGUCAUGUUUUAUUUUAUUUUUUAUUUAUAAAUCCUUUAGUUGCAAUCCCUGUUACCAUAGUUUAAGAGCUUUAUGAGACAAGUAAUGGGCCAGCUUUGCAUUGCCAAUAAUUAUUUCCUCAAAACCCGCUGACAUAAUAACACUUGAUUAUGGUCUCUGUGAAAUCAGCGGUGUGGAAAUGACAGCACCCAAAAAGAGCAAACAAUUAAAAAACAAAGUAGAAAGGGCCUGAAAAGAUAUCAGGUGUAGUCCUAAUUUUUACAACAGGCCUCUGGAAGUGGUUGAAACAGUUCCUUUAUUACCCACACACAACCAAAUAACCCAAGUUUCAAACUCAUGUUACGCCUCUCAGACUGUAACAUGAGACCAGAGGGACACGCCUCUCCUAAGACGAGAGAGAGCUCACACCACGCACUGAAGCUGAGUCAGUGAGAGGAGCACCAACACCAGCAGCAUCUCUGCUCCUCCCACACGUGAAGCCGAGACACACAUGACAGCUUGUGUCACUCCCAUCAUCAUCACAGCCGGCAUAACCCUGCUGCUCUCUGCUGCUGUGUGGUUUGUGUGGAGGAGGAUCUCCCGCGGCUCAGGAUCCACACCUGGAGGCGCUGAUGGAGGACCUGCCAGUGACCUGGAGAUGACACCUUUCACUGAGAGGAGCCCUGACAGAGGGACGAUCAUUGGAUAACUGAAGCCUGUGUGUGUGUGUGUGUGUGUGUGUGUGUGUG
ensembl:lncRNA